rnacentral:rRNA from 1 species
AUUGAACGCUGGCGGCAUGCCUUACACAUGCAAGUCGAACGGCAGCACGGGAGCAAUCCUGGUGGCGAGUGGCGAACGGGUGAGUAAAGUAUCGGAACGUGCCCAGUCGUGGGGGAUAACGUAGCGAAAGUUACGCUAAUACCGCAUACGAUCUAUGGAUGAAAGCGGGGGAUCGCAAGGCCUCGCGCGAUUGGAGCGGCCGAUAUCAGAUUAGGUAGUUGGUGGGGUAAAGGCUCACCAAGCCGACGAUCUGUAGCUGGUCUGAGAGGACGACCAGCCACACUGGGACUGAGACACGGCCCAGACCCCUACGGGAGGCAGCAGUGGGGAAUUUUGGACAAUGGGCGCAAGCCUGAUCCAGCCAUGCCGCGUGCAGGAUGAAGGCCUUCGGGUUGUAAACUGCUUUUGUACGGAACGAAAAGGUUUGACUUAAUACGUUGGACUCAUGACGGUACCGUAAGAAUAAGCACCGGCUAACUACGUGCCAGCAGCCGCCGUAA